UACGAAGGGGGCUAGCGUUGUUCGGAUUUACUGGGCGUAAAGCGCACGUAGGCGGAUUGUUAAGUCAGGGGUGAAAUCCCGGAGCUCAACUCCGGAACUGCCUUUGAUACUGGCAAUCUUGAGGCUGGAAGAGGUUAGUGGAAUUCCCAGUGUAGAGGUGAAAUUCGUAGAUAUUGGGAAGAACACCAGUGGCGAAGGCGGCUAACUGGACCGGUAUUGACGCUGAGGUGCGAAAGCGUGGGGAGCAAACAGG
rnacentral:rRNA from 1 species